rnacentral:rRNA from 1 species
GGGAUUGCCCUAGUAACGGCGAGUGAAGCGGCAACAGCUCAAAUUUGAAAUCUGGCGCAAGCCCGAGUUGUAAUUUGUAGAGGAUGCUUCUAGGUAGCGACCGGUCUAAGUUCCUUGGAACAGGACGUCAUAGAGGGUGAGAAUCCCGUAUGUGACCGGCCCGCACCUUCUACGUAGCUCCUUCGACGAGUCGAGUUGUUUGGGAAUGCAGCUCUAAAUGGGAGGUAAAUUUCUUCUAAAGCUAAAUACCGGCCAGAGACCGAUAGCGCACAAGUAGAGUGAUCGAAAGAUGAAAAGCACUUUGGAAAGAGAGUUAAAAAGCACGUGAAAUUGUUGAAAGGGAAGCGCUUACAACCAGACUUCUGGGCGGUGUUCCGCCGGUCUUUUGACCGGUCUACUCGCCGUCCCGAGGCCAACAUCAUCUGGGACCGCUGGAUAAGACCUCAGGAAUGUAGCUCCCCUCGGGGAGUGUUAUAGCCUGUGGUGAUGCAGCGCGUCUCGGGUGAGGUCCGCGCUUCGGCAAGGAUGUUGGCGUAAUGGUUGUCAGCGGCCCGUCUUGAAACACGGACCAAGGAGUCUAACAUCUAUGCGAGUGUUCGGGUGUCAAACCCCUACGCGUAAUGAAAGUGAACGGAGGUGGGAAGGGCAACCUGCACCAUCGACCGAUCCUGAUGUCCUCGGAUGGAUUUGAGUAAGAGCAUAGCUGUUGGGACCCGAAAGAUGGUGAACUAUGCCUGAAUAGGGUGAAGCCAGAGGAAACUCUGGUGGAGGCUCGCAGCGGUUCUGACGUGCAAAUCGAUCGUCAAAUUUGGGUAUAGGGGCGAAAG